rnacentral:tRNA from 1 species
GUGGGUAGAGCUCAGUGGUAGAGUGCAUGCUUAGCAUGCAAGAGGUCCUGGGUUCAAUCCCCAGUACCUCCA